rnacentral:rRNA from 1 species
CGGCGGACGGGUGAGUAACGCGUGGGUAACCUGCCCGAUACAGGGGGAUAACAGUUAGAAAUGAUUGCUAAUACCGCAUAAGCGCACGGAGCCGCAUGGCGCUGAGUGAAAAACGAUAGUGGUAUAGGAGGGACCCGCGUCUGAUUAGGUAGUUGGUGAGGUAACGGCCCACCAAGCCGACGAUCAGUAGCCGACCUGAGAGGGUGACCGGCCACAUUGGGACUGAGACACGGCCCAAACUCCUACGGAAGGCAGCAG